GCAUUAGCUCAGCUGGAUAGAGCGUUUGACUACGAAUCAAAAGGCCGUAGGUUCGAAUCCUACAUGCCG
rnacentral:tRNA from 1 species